UACAGAGGGGGCAAGCGUUGUUCGGAAUUACUGGGCGUAAAGGGCGCGUAGGCGGCCCGCUAAGUCGAACGUGAAAUCCCCAGGCUCAACCUGGGAACUGCGUCCGAUACUGGCAGGCUUGAAUCCGGGAGAGGGAUGUGGAAUUCCAGGUGUAGCGGUGAAAUGCGCAGAUAUCAGGAGGAACACCAAUGGCGAAGGCAGCUCGCUGGAACGGUACUGACGCUGGAGGCGCGAAAGCGUGGGGAGCGAACAGG
rnacentral:rRNA from 1 species